rnacentral:rRNA from 1 species
AACGAACGCUGGCGGCAGGCUUAACACAUGCAAGUCGAACGCCCGUAGCAAUACGGGAGUGGCGGACGGGUGAGUAACGCGUGGGAACGUGCCCUAAGGUACGGAAUAACUGCGGGAAACUGCAGCUAAUACCGUAUGUGCCCGAAAGGGGAAAGAUUUAUCGCCUUAGGAGCGGCCCGCGUCGGAUUAGCUAGUUGGUGGGGUAACGGCCUACCAAGGCUUCGAUCCGUAGCUGGUCUGAGAGGACGAUCAGCCACACUGGGACUGAGACACGGCCCAGACUCCUACGGGAGGCAGCAGUGGGGAAUCUUGCGCAAUGGGCGAAAGCCUGACGCAGCCAUGCCGCGUGAACGAUGAAGGCCUUAGGGUUGUAAAGUUCUUUUGCCCGUGACGAUGAUGACGGUAACGGGAGAAUAAGCUCCGGCUAACUUCGUGCCAGCCGCCGCAGUAAGAC